UACGUAGGGUCCGAGCGUUGUCCGGAAUCAUUGGGCGUAAAGAGCGCGCAGGCGGUCGUUCAAGUCGAGUGUGAAAGCCCCCGGCUCAACUGGGGAGGGUCACGCGAUACUGCUCGACUCGAAGGCAGGAGAGGGAAGUGGAAUUCCCGGUGUAGUGGUGAAAUGCGUAGAUAUCGGGAGGAACACCAGUGGCGAAGGCGACUUCCUGGCCUGUUCUUGACGCUGAGGCGCGAAAGCUAGGGUAGCAAACGGG
rnacentral:rRNA from 1 species